AAAUGGUGGACUGCAUUGUUUGGCGACCCCCGUGAAAUGGUCAUUCGACCCACAGGUUGAGAACCGCUGCUCUAUGUAAAAAAAUUCCCUUUGGCAAAUCCCAGUUUUAAUAUUUAAUUCCACAAUUAAGGAAUAUAAUCCAACAUCAUGUUUAUAUCUUUAACUGUUAUAUUUUCCUAAAGCUUUAUCAAUGUAUACAAUUACUUCAGCUUGUGAUACAGAUCUCCAAAUGCAGAUUUUUAAUUGGAACUAAGAUGCUUGGACACAGAAUUUUAAUUCUCAUUUAGCAUAUAAUAUAGCUUCGCAUCUCCCUUGGGGCCAGUUUUAUGUAAACAAGAAUAACCUGCAAAGAAACCUGUACACUGAAUACUGUUGUAGAAGUUUUAAAAAUGCAGCAAAGUUUCAAUAACAGUCUUUAUAAUUCAUAUCUCCUCCCAGUUGGUGGUAGAAUAAUCAUGUUUAAUUACUCCUGCACUAUUUUUCAUGUGGUAUGUUUAAAUCCUGGGUGUGCUGUUGAAACAUAUACACAAAAUGGGCGUAUGCAUUUGAAGUCUUUGAACAAGCCAAUAAUUCUUAUGGUAAACAUUUAGCUACUCUGAAAUUAUUAUUCCAAUGUCUCAAAGACAAGAGAGGAAUCAAAUGAAGUUGUUCCAGUCUAAAGUAAUUCUAUUGUUUUGAGUUAAAUUUAUAACUUUUAAAAUUAAGAAAUUGAUGCUACUAUGAAAAAUUACAUUAUGCCUAAAAUACUUGGAGAAAACCUAUUAGAAAACCUCUGUGAAACAUAUCAAAACAUAUCAAAACAUAUCAAACCUAUUAGAAAACCUCUGUGAAACAUAUCAAACGUUGACUUUUUAUUCAUUGAUUUGUUUGUGUGUAUAUAUCCUGCCUUUAUUAUUUUUACAAAUAAGUCAAGGCGGAGAACAUAUCCAAUGCAACUUCCUUCUCCUAUUUUCCCCACAACAGCAACACUGGGAGAUGAGCCGAGAGAGACUGGCCCAAGAUCACCUAGCCGGCUUUCAUGGUUAAAACAGGAGUCUCCUGGUUUCCACUAGACCAGAGGUCCCCAAUCCCCGGUCCAUGGACAGGCACCAGCAACUGGGAUGCCCAAACAAGCAAAGCCCGAUCCAUGAUAUGCAGGCAGCAUGCAAAACCAUGCCCCCUCCAGUCUGCAGAAAAACCUUUCUCCUUGGAACUGAUCCCUGGAGCCCCCAAAAAGUUGGGGGCCGCUGCAUUAGACCAAACUUUGAUAACGUACGGUGGUGUUUAAAAGUUUGUGAACCCUUUUACAUUUUUAAUAUUUCAGCAUAAACGUUAUCUAAAAUAUUGUUUGUUUUCCACGCAGGUCCAAAACCUAAACAAAUUAAAAACAAAUGUGUCAAAAACAUUAGGAGAACACUGAAGAACAAUGGUGUGAAUGGCAAGGUUCCAAGAAGAGUCCAAAAAAAAAAAAACCUUUGCUGCCCAUCUACAGUUUGCAAAAGUUCAUGUGGACAGCCAAGAAGGCUAUUGAAAGGAUGUGAAUAAACCAGCCAUUUCCAUAACAACAGAUCUAUCUACGGUAAUCAGUAAAACCCCAAAUCAAAGUUUUUCCACCUAAGCAAGGAAUCCCAAUUACAUCAUAAGGGAAGGCUGCUACCUAAAGGAACAUAACUGAGAUGCAUCCAUAUACAUCGAAGCUGAAAUGACCUGUUUGCAUUCUGUACAUACACAAAGAAGUGCAAACAUGCAUAAGCCCCUGUACCUUGCAAUUUAAGAGCAUCAGAUUAAGACCAGAAGUCCAGAUUCAAGGGCAAACUCAUUGGAUGACUCUGGACCAGUCACUGUGAGCAUUACCUAAUGAUAUCAAUCAAUAACAUAUUUUGUUUGUUUGCACAAAACCUUACAUUUGGGGCAGCAGGCAGUUGAGAACGAGCACAAUCGAACGCCCCGGUGACAGCAUCUACUAAUGCAGCAAGGGACACCAUUUGCUUCCCAUGUGGCUACGAAGCCACAUUUGGUUAUCCCUUGAUCCUUACCUCAACCUACCCCAUUCUCUAUGGAAAUAAAACUGGAGGAGGAAGCAUUAUGGAGUCUACCCUGAGGGAGGGAAUGUGAGAUGUAAAUCUAUACAUAAUGUCUGAUGCACAUGGAUGCUCAUUUGGAUAUAAUUCCACAGCA